rnacentral:rRNA from 1 species
GACGAACGCUGGCGGCGUGCUUAACACAUGCAAGUCGAACGGAAAGGCCCUGCUUUUGUGGGGUGCUCGAGUGGCGAACGGGUGAGUAACACGUGAGUAACCUGCCCUUGACUUUGGGAUAACUUCAGGAAACUGGGGGUAAUACCGGAUAGGAGCUCCUGCUGCAUGGUGGGGGUUGGAAAGUUUCGGCGGUUGGGGAUGGACUCGCGGCCUAUCAGCUUGUUGGUGGGGUAGUGGCUUACCAAGGCUUUGACGGGUAGCCGGCCUGAGAGGGUGACCGGCCACCUUGGGACUGAGAUACGGCCCAGACUCCUACGGGAGGCAGCAGUGGGGAAUAUUGCACAAUGGGCGGAAGCCUGAUGCAGCAACGCCGCGUGCGGGAUGACGGCCUUCGGGUUGUCAACCGCUUUCGCCUGUGACGAAGCGUGAGUGACGGUAAUGGGUAAAGAAGCACCGGCUAACUACGUG